rnacentral:rRNA from 1 species
GACGAACCGAGCGAACGUUAUUCGGAAUCACUGGGCUUAAAGGGCGCGUAGGCGGACCGUCAAGUCAGGGGUGAAAGCCCGCGGCUCAACCGCGGAAGUGCCUUUGAUACUGGCGGCCUCGAGGGAGGUAGGGGCGUGCGGAACUUCCGGUGGAGCGGUGAAAUGCGUAGAUAUCGGAAGGAACACCCGUGGCGAAGGCGGCUCUCUGGAACGCAACUGACGCUGAGACGCGAAAGCGUGGGGAGCAAACAGG